ensembl:lncRNA
CAGAUUUGCUGCUUUGCUCUGAUGACUGCUAGCAGCAGUGUUUGUUGUUAACAGAGACAUUUACACCUAACCACCAGUUGGCAGGUGUUAACACUUUGUUACUUGCUAUUCCCACAUGCUGAGGAUUGUGGGAAAGCUGUCAAGCUCUCUUGUCUUGUGUAACGCUUCUGUUUUACAAUAACAACAACAAGAAGCCCCGAACAAGUGCAGAAGCUCUGUAGGAAUACAGCACUAGCAAGGGAAACAACAGGAUGGAUUCUGAUGCCUCCUGGCUUCGAGCAGAGGGCAGAGGCAAACCCUAUCCAAACAAGGAAGGGGAGGAAGAUGCAUUGCAAAAUUGUGGAUGGGUCACAUGAGUCAAAAAUACAUGCAUAGAUAUAUUUUUGUCUGGAAGGCCCAGCUCAGAAGUGUGAUGCCUGCAUUUUAGUGCUUUGCACAGUAAGUUGCUUCCCAGAAAAAGAGAACAUUAAAAACACGAUCAGCAAAAGCCUGGUAAAAGUUGUAACCAGCUCUGACUGUCCAUGGUAUGACAGCCAACAAAUAUCACCUGCUGAUGAUUUACAGAUUCCUGGGAGAUGUGGUGUUGAGUCUCAAAGAACUGGAACAAGAACAACUCACUCAACGUGCUUCUCAGGAAACAAUGUGUUGGCUAGGUGAAAUGCUUCCCAGGGAAUUGCAGCUGGAGGAAUCACAGCAUCCCACAUACAGAGCAGUCCAAAUUUCUGCCAAACUCUUCACUGUGUCUUUAACUCAAACCACUUGUACUCUUUGUGAUUGAUGCUUGUAGAAUAAGGCAGACCUAACCCAGGAAAGUCUUCUGCAACCUGGCUCUGACUUCCUUCAAACAAAAACUUAUGUAGUCAUACAGUCGUACAAUUUAACAGCCUGCCCUGAGAGUUCCACAUGAACCUAACACAGCAUUUGAUGAGGUGGUAAUUGUUACUCCUCCCCAUUUUCACUGUGUAGUUGGUGUUUGCUGUGUUUUUUGUUUGUUUGUGUGGUGUAGCCUUGUUUGCUGUGGGUCAUUUAAUUUAGACUGUCUUAGGAACCUGUGAACCUGCACCUGAGCAAUUACAUUGAUUUGGGGGCGGGGGGGGGGAGAUGAAAUUAAAUUAAACCUGAACCAAACUUAGUCUCUGGGGAAGAAACCUUUGCCAACUUUAACAGGAUAAAAUUCCACCAGAAUGUAAUACUUUAUUGGGC